rnacentral:rRNA from 1 species
AUUGAACGCUGGCGGCAGGCCUAACACAUGCAAGUCGAGCGGAGCGGCGGACGGGCGAGUGAUGCCUAGGAAUCUGCCUGGUAGUGGGGGAUAACGUCCGGAAACGGGCGCUAAUACCGCAUCCUAUCAGAUGCGCCUAGGUCGGAUUAGCUAGUUGGUGGGGUAAAGGCCUACCAAGGCGACGAACCGUAACUGGUCUGAGAGGAUGAUCAGUCACACUGGAACGGAGACACGGUCCAGACCCCUACGGGAGGCAGCAGUGGGGAAUAUUGGACAAUGGGCGAAAGCCUGAUCCAGACAUGCCGGGUGUGGGAAGAAGGUCUUCGGAUUGUAAAGCACUUUAAGUUGGGAGGCGGUAACAACAGAAUAAGCACCGGCUAACUACGUGCCAGCAGCCGCGGUAAUUC